rnacentral:lncRNA from 1 species
GGAGUUUAAUAGAAGAGAGUUGUUUGUCUGGGAAAAGGAAUAAGUGAGGUGGAGGAGAUUCUAAGAAGGGUGGAAAUGAAAGAACAACUGCAAGAAGGGAAGUAGAAAGCAAGCAUGAGUGGUCAGUAUGCAAUGAAAUAUGCUUAUGUGAUAAUACAGGGGCAGCAAGCUAUGGGUCAACAUGAGAAAAGUUAUAAAGAAGUAUGUAUAUGGGAGACAGAAGUACCACCAAAGGUAAGCUUCUUUUUUUUUUUUUUUUUUUUUUUUUGUGAAGAAUGAUUACAAAUUGGCUUCCAACUAGGGACCAACUGUGUAAAAGAAGUUUUCUUCGGGAAAGCUUAGCUAGAAGCUUCCCCAAGUGUAAGGAUAAUCCAAACACCAUAUCUCAUGUUCUGUUCAAUUGCAGGAUGUUUGAUUGGGUAUGAAAAUAUUGCAAUUGAUGAGUGAGCAUUAAUAGUGUUUUCCCCGAGUUAGCAGAAACACGUUUCUAUCAGCAUAAAUAGAGGCUGUGUAUUAAAUAAAGAACUAUGGUUUAGAUUGUAGUUUGCAAUUAUCUGGUGUAUAUGGAAAGAGGGAAAUAGUGUUUGAUGGAACGGAAAAUGUUUUGCGGACAGGAUGUGAUGCAACACAUCAAGAUAUAUUAUUGGAAGUGGUAUAAACUGACUGAUAAGGAGAGAUGUUCCACGUUUAUCCAAUGGUGUGCCAACCCUGAAAUAUGCAUAAGAAACUUGUUUUACUAAUGAGUUGGCUAUGUGAAAGUUUAAAAAUAGGAUCUUGUAUUUUGUAGAAGUUUAUGGUGUAGUCACUAGGUUCUCUAUGUUUUGGGUUUUGACCGCGUCUGUGAACUAAGGAACUAUGUAGGAAACAAAAUUCUUUGAUUGUUCAGUUUAGGUACGUAAAAAAGGGAGGUCUACCUUGUACCCUAUAUAUAAUAUAUGUAUCAUUGCAGGAAAACAAAAUCAUAUUGAUUACAGUUUAAUUUAAAAUUGUAUGUAGAUAAUACUUUAAUAUGAAAGAUUAAAGGUCAAUCGGUAGGUAAUAUUUAAACUAUGGAAGGAAUUAACUUUUUACUGUAAAUAAAAUACCCUUUGUGCAAAAAGAAAAAGAAAAGGUUUUAGGCAGGAAUUAUGACUGGAGGUUGCAGCUAUUUACUCCUGUCGGUCUUCACAUCUACAACUUAAAACAACAGUUUUUUCCCCCACUUGAAUUCACGUGAAACCACCAAUAAGAAACUGUUACCAGAAUUGCAAUCCCAAAAAAGUUGGUAGCAUUUAAUACCAAAGGAAUCGGUAAGGCAAAGUGGAAACUAUCACUAUCUUUUUAAACGAAAGAUGGAACAUAAAACAGAUUGCAUGAAGUGACCUACUUACUCAAUUAGUUUAUACACUUGAAACGCUUUACACAUAGGCAACAAAUUGCAUACGCUCUCACUUGAAUGAGACGAGAGCUUAAAUGAGAUAAAAAUACUAGAAACCAAAGGCAGGCAAUUAAAAUCACCUGUUCUGCUCAUUAAUCCAAACAGUUGAAAACAAGUAUUGACUUUGCAGGAUUUCCAGUUGGCCCAAUCACUCCAUAAAUGCCGCAGCAAAGCAGAUGGUAGUGAUAAAUAAAUCAUCUGAAUUUCUGAACAAAUUAAUGCUAUUAGACAUUUAUGAUGCAAACAAAUGCCAGUGAUGAUCUGAAUGUAAAUUCUCUUUGAUCUUUUCAAGACGUUUAAGGAUCUCUAAGAAGGGUGGUCUCUGAUUCACGUCAUGAGCCCAACACUGCUCCGUUAAUCUACAAACACGAAAGGCCAAAGUUCAUUAGAUUACUUCUAUGAUCCAGGGCUGCUCUAAACGAAAUAAAUGUUUGCUUGCUAUAACUACUAAUAGCCUAAUUUACAAAGCAUACCAGAACCUCUAAUGAAAUGGUCAGAAAGAAAGAGUUAAUCAUAUUAAUGCUAGUCAACUGGUGGUUUGUGAAGUUAGAUGUACUGAACAGCAAUAGUAAGCGUUGUCAAGGUUCUUCCAUUUAUGGUAAAGGGUGGCAAAAUCAUAAUCAUUAUUGACCAUCCCUUUAAGUGUAAAGGUAAAAAAUGGGACGAUGAAACUAAGAUGUCUUUCGUGACAAUUGGCCAAUAUAAAUAGCAACCCAAGCAAUGGCGUAUCGCAUGGCUUUAGAUAUCAUAAAACAUUUUCUCAAAUCACUACUUGAGUAUGCACAGUUGAAAAUUUCAAAUCAAACCAAAUACUAAAUAAAGCAAAGAGAAGAAAUCAGUCCUAAGUCAGAUGUUGAACAAAUAGGGGGUCAGACUGAACAUGUCAAGAAUAUGAUCAAUUGAAUGCAUUGCUCUGAGCUGAAGUAUAUUCCUCUAAUGGAAGCAUCUUGUAAGUCCGUUUAUAAGACCCGUCUAAAGUAGGUGGGCUUCUGACAGUACCGAUUUUAAGAUACACGCCAGGACAUAACGAAACACAUUUGAGUUUUUUUAAAGUCAUGUAAAGGACCUACUUUCUCGAAAGCUUCAGCUAUAAGAUACAAGCCUAGAAAUAAUUUAUACAUCUCAUAUAUGGCUUGUUACGUGAAAGCCAUUUUAUACAUCUCAAACUUUAGAAGAAUGAUUGCAACACAAGCUCUUGACCAUUUGGUAAAAAAGAGAAUGACAUCAUGCCAAUAGCUACCUUUAAAAAUAGAGAGCUAGAAAAUUGAAUGAAAGAAAUGUAUCAUAAACGACUUACUCUUGCAAUUCAUUGAUAUAACCCUUUGACCGAAAUGAAGGCCUUUGACCCUCAGCAGCACGUUUUGCUCCAUCAUAAGGCUCGAGAUUUGCAAAAGGUGGUUCACCUUCAAGCAUCUGCAUGAAAUAAAGAUAUCAUGCAUUAUAAUUAGCUCAAAUUGUAUCAGAUAAAAUUUUUGCAUUUAAGCAAGCGGAAUUACCUCAUAUAAAAUCAUUGCAAAGGAGUACACGUCAACCUUCUUAUCAUAUCUCCGAUGUUUGAAAACUUCAGGAGCCAUAUAGCGGUCUUUUUCCAUCCCCAAGGAAAUAAAAUUAAGUUUUGCAUAAGAAUGGGUACUAAUAUUUUAAAAGAAUUUCAGACAAUACUCACAGCUCCCAGUUUCACCGGUCAUCUUGUAUACAUCAUGAGAACUCUGGACAGUGAUAAGCUUACUCAAUCCAAAAUCUCCAACUUUUAAAUGGUCAGCACUAGUAUUGACUAAUAGAACAUUCCUGAAAUUUUAGAAAAUAAACUUCAACAUAUAAUACUGAGGCUACUUAAUUUCAGCUGGAUGCUUUUAAGACAAAAUUUAGUCAACCUAGUUUCUUCAAUUUGUUUAUAAGCCAUAUAUGAUAAGGACCCAAACAUUGGGAAACUCACCAUAAAAAACUCGACAUUAAGGAGAGAAAACUAAACACUUAAAUAUUCUAUUGAGCAUCUCAGUCUACUCAAUGUGGGAUUAGGCAUUUGAUAAUAUCCAAGUCCUUAUCUUAGCACCAUCCCGAAGAGUCAACAUCUUAGUGGGUUUCAACCUACAACACCCUCAAAAGCUAAGCAGCUUUCACUCUACAACACUUUGCUCCCAUCUUGGUAUCUACAACCAACUCUGAUACCAAUACAUAAACACCCAAAACUUGGAAAUUUACUCUCAAAAGUUAUAUACUAAGGAAGGAAGAUCCAAACAUUUAAAUACUCCAAUAAGUAUCCUAUACUACUUGAUGUAGGACUUAGGCACCUUAUAAUAACAAAGUCUUUAUCACAAUGCAUCUUGACAUGCUGUCAUAACAUGUUGUCCAUAAUAUUUUCACAUAAAAGUUGCAUAUAACCAACAUACCUUGGCUUUAGGUCCCGAUGAAUUAUAACAUUUGGUUCAUUGUGAAGAUAGGCCAUUCCUCUGCAUAACAAUAUCCACAAAAUAUACUUUAGCGUGUCGAUCAAAUUAAGUGAAAAUGAAUGUAAACAGAUUCCUCUGGAUUUACUAAUUCAAUUAUCGGGGUUGAUAAAAUACAGGUUGAUAUCAAAUUAGCUUAGUUAUACACUGGUCAUAUUAUUUGAUGGAGAUGGAGGCUAGUCAAAGCCAAAUACAAGUGAUGCAUUGGUAAUUCUUGUUGGUCCAGGUCCAGUGAAAAGAGCUUGUACGCCCUGUGAGAUCUAAAAGACCAUGGCAAACCUAGUAGCUAAAAUUCGUAGUCACGGAUACCGUUUGGACAGUAUGGGUCUACUUGAUGAAGCUUU